rnacentral:rRNA from 1 species
CAAUAGCGUAUAUUAAAGUUGUUGCAGUUAAAAAGUUCGUAGUUGGAUUUGUGGCGUACGGUGGGUUCCGGGCACUUGUUGUCUGAGUAACUUGCUGUUGCCAUCCUUGGGUGGAACCUGUGUGGCAUUAGGUUGUCGUGCAGGGGAUGCCCAUCAUUUACUGUGAAAAAAUUAGAGUGUUCAAAGCAGGCUUAUGCCGUUGAAUAUAUUAGCAUGGAAUAAUGAGAUAGGACUUUUUUGCUAUUUUGUUGGUUUGCGCAAAGAGGUAAUGAUUAAUAGGGACAGUUGGGGGUAUUCGUAUUCCAUUGUCAGAGGUGAAAUUCUUGGAUUUUUGGAAGACGAACUACUGCGAAAGCAUUUACCAAGGAUGUUUUCAUUAA